AGCCUUCUGGUACUUAUCACAGGCUGUGUUCUUACUCUGACUGUCUAGAAAGAGAAGGCAAAGUAAGCCAAGCCCAUAUACACCUCAGCCCAGGCUCUGUGCCUGGUCUGUAUUGUGAAUAGGGAGAUAUGG
rnacentral:snoRNA from 1 species